GGGUUGUGAGGUUAAGCGACUAAGCGUACACGGUGGAUGCCCUGGCAGUCAGAGGCGAUGAAGGGCGUGCUAAUCUGCGAUAAGCGCCGGUAAGGUGAUAUGAACCGUUAUAACCGGCGAUACCCGAAUGGGGAAACCCAGUGUGAUUCGUCACACUAUCAUUAACUGAAUCCAUAGGUUAAUGAGGCGAACCGGGGGAACUGAAACAUCUAAGUACCCCGAGGAAAAGAAAUCAACCGAGAUUCCCCCAGUAGCGGCGAGCGAACGGGGAGGAGCCCAGAGCCUGAAUCAGCAUGUGUGUUAGUGGAAGCGUCUGGAAAGGCGCGCGAUACAGGGUGACAGCCCCGUACACAAAAGCGCAUGUGCUGUGAGCUCGAUGAGUAGGGCGGGACACGUGGUAUCCUGUCUGAAUAUGGGGGGACCAUCCUCCAAGGCUAAAUACUCCUGACUGACCGAUAGUGAACCAGUACCGUGAGGGAAAGGCGAAAAGAACCCCGGCGAGGGGAGUGAAAAAGAACCUGAAACCGUGUACGUACAAGCAGUGGGAGCNNNNNNNNNNNNNNNNNNNNNNNNNNNNNNNNNNNNNNNNNNNNNNNNNNNNNNNNNNNNNNNGGGCGUUAAGUUGCAGGGUAUAGACCCGAAACCCGGUGAUCUAGCCAUGGGCAGGUUGAAGGUUGGGUAACACUAACUGGAGGACCGAACCGACUAAUGUUGAAAAAUUAGCGGAUGACCUGUGGCUGGGGGUGAAAGGCCAAUCAAACCGGGAGAUAGCUGGUUCUCCCCGAAAGCUAUUUAGGUAGCGCCUCGUGAAUUCAUCUCCGGGGGUAGAGCACUGUUUCGGCUAGGGGGCCAUCCCGGCUUACCAACCCGAUGCAAACUGCGAAUACCGGAGAAUGUUAUCACGGGAGACACACGGCGGGUGCUAACGUCCGUCGUGAAGAGGGAAACAACCCAGACCGCCAGCUAAGGUCCCAAAGUCAUGGUUAAGUGGGAAACGAUGUGGGAAGGCCCAGACAGCCAGGAUGUUGGCUUAGAAGCAGCCAUCAUUUAAAGAAAGCGUAAUAGCUCACUGGUCGAGUCGGCCUGCGCGGAAGAUGUAACGGGGCUAAACCAUGCACCGAAGCUGCGGCAGCGACACUGUGUGUUGUUGGGUAGGGGAGCGUUCUGUAAGCCUGCGAAGGUGGCCUGUGAGGGUUGCUGGAGGUAUCAGAAGUGCGAAUGCUGACAUAAGUAACGAUAAAGCGGGUGAAAAGCCCGCUCGCCGGAAGACCAAGGGUUCCUGUCCAACGUUAAUCGGGGCAGGGUGAGUCGACCCCUAAGGCGAGGCCGAAAGGCGUAGUCGAUGGGAAACGGGUUAAUAUUCCCGUACUUGGUGUUACUGCGAAGGGGGGACGGAGAAGGCUAUGUUGGCCGGGCGACGGUUGUCCCGGUUUAAGCGUGUAGGUGUGUGUUCCAGGUAAAUCCGGUUCACUUUAACACUGAGGCGUGACGACGAGGCACUACGGUGCUGAAGCAACAAAUGCCCUGCUUCCAGGAAAAGCCUCUAAGCAUCAGGUAACAUCAAAUCGUACCCCAAACCGACACAGGUGGUCAGGUAGAGAAUACCAAGGCGCUUGAGAGAACUCGGGUGAAGGAACUAGGCAAAAUGGUGCCGUAACUUCGGGAGAAGGCACGCUGACACGUAGGUGAAGUGAUUUACUCAUGGAGCUGAAGUCAGUCGAAGAUACCAGCUGGCUGCAACUGUUUAUUAAAAACACAGCACUGUGCAAACACGAAAGUGGACGUAUACGGUGUGACGCCUGCCCGGUGCCGGAAGGUUAAUUGAUGGGGUCAGCGCAAGCGAAGCUCCUGAUCGAAGCCCCGGUAAACGGCGGCCGUAACUAUAACGGUCCUAAGGUAGCGAAAUUCCUUGUCGGGUAAGUUCCGACCUGCACGAAUGGCGUAAUGAUGGCCAGGCUGUCUCCACCCGAGACUCAGUGAAAUUGAACUCGCUGUGAAGAUGCAGUGUACCCGCGGCAAGACGGAAAGACCCCGUGAACCUUUACUAUAGCUUGACACUGAACAUUGAGCCUUGAUGUGUAGGAUAGGUGGGAGGCUUUGAAGUGUGGACGCCAGUCUGCAUGGAGCCGACCUUGAAAUACCACCCUUUAAUGUUUGAUGUUCUAACGUGGACCCGUUACCCGGGUUGCGGACAGUGUCUGGUGGGUAGUUUGACUGGGGCGGUCUCCUCCUAAAGAGUAACGGAGGAGCACGAAGGUUGGCUAAUCCUGGUCGGACAUCAGGAGGUUAGUGCAAUGGCAUAAGCCAGCUUGACUGCGAGCGUGACGGCGCGAGCAGGUGCGAAAGCAGGUCAUAGUGAUCCGGUGGUUCUGAAUGGAAGGGCCAUCGCUCAACGGAUAAAAGGUACUCCGGGGAUAACAGGCUGAUACCGCCCAAGAGUUCAUAUCGACGGCGGUGUUUGGCACCUCGAUGUCGGCUCAUCACAUCCUGGGGCUGAAGUAGGUCCCAAGGGUAUGGCUGUUCGCCAUUUAAAGUGGUACGCGAGCUGGGUUUAGAACGUCGUGAGACAGUUCGGUCCCUAUCUGCCGUGGGCGCUGGAGAACUGAGGGGGGCUGCUCCUAGUACGAGAGGACCGGAGUGGACGCAUCACUGGUGUUCGGGUUGUCAUGCCAAUGGCACUGCCCGGUAGCUAAAUGCGGAAGAGAUAAGUGCUGAAAGCAUCUAAGCACGAAACUUGCCCCGAGAUGAGUUCUCCCUGAGACUUAGAGUCUCCUGAAGGAACGUUGAAGACGACGACGUUGAUAGGCCGGGUGUGUAAGCGCAGCGAUGCGUUGAGCUAACCGGUACUAAUGAACCGUGAGGCUUAACCUUACAACGCCGAAG
rnacentral:rRNA from 1 species